rnacentral:rRNA from 1 species
UACGUAGGGUGCAAGCGUUAAUCGGAAUUACUGGGCGUAAAGCGUGCGCAGGCGGUUGUGUAAGACAGAUGUGAAAUCCCCGGGCUCAACCUGGGAACUGCAUUUGUGACUGCACGGGCUGGAGUGCGGCAGAGGGGGAUGGAAUUCCGCGUGUAGCAGUGAAAUGCGUAGAUAUGCGGAGGAACACCGAUGGCGAAGGCAAUCCCCUGGGCCUGCACUGACGCUCAUGCACGAAAGCGUGGGGAGCAAACAGG